AUUGAACGCUGGCGGCAUGCCUUACACAUGCAAGUCGAACGGCAACACGGGUGCUUGCACCUGGUGGCGAGUGGCGAACGGGUGAGUAAUACAUCGGAACGUACCUUAUCGUGGGGGAUAACGCAGCGAAAGCUGUGCUAAUACCGCAUACGCCCUGAGGGGGAAAGCGGGGGAUCGCAAGACCUCGCGCGAUUAGAGCGGCCGAUGCCUGAUUAGCUUGUUGGUGGGGUAAAAGCCCACCAAGGCGACGAUCAGUAGCUGGUCUGAGAGGACGAUCAGCCACACUGGGACUGAGACACGGCCCAGACUCCUACGGGAGGCAGCAGUGGGGAAUUUUGGACAAUGGGGGCAACCCUGAUCCAGCAAUGCCGCGUGAGUGAAGAAGGCCUUCGGGUUGUAAAGCUCUUUUGUCAGGGAAGAAACACCGGCUCUAACACAGCCCGGGAACGACGGUACCUGAAGAAUAAGCACCGGCUAACUACGUGCCAGCCGCCGCUGUAA
rnacentral:rRNA from 1 species